UACAGAGGUGGCAAGCGUUGUUCGGAAUUACUGGGCGUAAAGGGCGCGUAGGCGGUCCGCUAAGUGUGUGGUGAAAGCUCGGGGCUCAACCCCGAGUCGGCCGUGCAAACUGGUGGACUCGAGCAUGUCAGAGGCAGGCGGAAUUCCGGGUGUAGCGGUGGAAUGCGUAGAGAUCCGAAAGAACACCGGUGGCGAAGGCGGCCUGCUGGGCAGUUGCUGACGCUGAGGCGCGACAGCGUGGGGAGCAAACAGG
rnacentral:rRNA from 1 species